rnacentral:lncRNA from 1 species
UGUAUUGAUAUGUGCGGUGGGAGUGGAGUGCAGGAGGACUGGAGUUCACAACUUCUCAGCAAAGUGUUACACCUCUCAGAACGGACAUCUAGACCACACAGUUACCCUUUUGCUAUGGAUGGGUGUGUCUUCCUCAGUUCUCACUUUGUAGAGCUGCACUUUUUAAAGUUCAGCUCAGACAGCUGCUGGCACAAAGAGGGCCAUACUGAAGACUCCAUGGAGAGAGUAAGAAUGUUCUCCCCUGUGUCUGGACACAGGACGCGUCUUAAGGAAUAA